UGGCGGCACUAGCGCGGUGGUCCCACCUGACCCCAUGCCGAACUCAGAAGUGAAACGCCGUAGCGCCGAUGGUAGUGUGGGGUCU
rnacentral:rRNA from 2 species